ensembl:snRNA U6 U6 spliceosomal RNA
GUGCUCACUUCAACAGCACAGAUACUAAAAAUGAAAUGAUACAGAGAAGAUUAGCUUGGACCCUGUGCAAGGCUGACCAGGCUCCAGUGAACAGACUCACACCAAGGGUUA